CUCCCAGGCUCAAGUGAUCCUCUCAUGUCUGCCUCCCAAGUAGCUGGGACCACAGGCAUGCGCCACCACAUCCAGCUAAUUUUUUGAUUUUUUUUUUGUAGAGACAAAAAAAAGUGUUGUCCAGGCUGGUCUCGAACUCCUGGGCUCAAGCAGUCCUCUUGCCCCGGCCUGCCAAGUAGCUGGAACUAUAGGCGUGUGCCCCACACCCGGCAGGCUUGGGGUUUUCAGGCAGCAGAGGGUGGCAGGAUCGGCUGCUCUGAUCCAAGAGGCUCCCGGCUCUCCCCCAGCUGGGGUCUUAGGGGGCUGUAGUGCAUGUCCACUCUACAAAUGGCAGGGGGGCUGGAGGUGGCUGUGCCUACACUGAGCUCCUUUGCAGCCUCUCCUUUCUCCCUCUCCAGGGAAGAGGACCCAGAUGAUGUGCCCCAUGGACAUAUCACCUCAUUGGCUGUGAAGCGUUCCCACCGGCGCCUCGGUCUGGCUCAGAAACUGAUGGACCAGGCCUCUCGAGCCAUGAUAGAGAACUUCAAUGCCAAAUAUGUCUCCCUGCAUGUCAGGAAGAGGUGGAAGCCGGGCUGAGGGAAGGGGGAUUGAGGGGGAGAGAUACUGCCUUGACGGGGGUCCUGGGGUACCUCAGCUUUUGGUGAAGAUCCAGGAAGUGGGAUUGGGGGGAAGGAGGGACCAGGAGGAGGGGCAAGACCUGGACGUGCUACCCCUCCCUGGCCAAAUCCGUGCAGCUCAGCAGUGCCUUGUUCCCCUGCAGUAACCGGGCCGCCCUGCACCUCUAUUCCAACACCCUCAACUUUCAGUAA
rnacentral:lncRNA from 1 species